GAACUUAAGCAUAUCAAUAAGCGGAGGAAAAGAAACCAACAGGGAUUGCCCCAGUAACGGCGAGUGAAGCGGCAACAGCUCAAAUUUGAAAUCUGGCCUUGUGCCCGAGUUGUAAUUUGUAGAGGAUGCUUUUGGCGACGCGCCUUCCGAGUUCCCUGGAACGGGACGCCAUAGAGGGUGAGAGCCCCGUCCGGUCGUGCGCCUAGCCUCUGUAAAGCUCCUUCGACGAGUCGAGUAGUUUGGGAAUGCUGCUCUAAAUGGGAGGUAUACGUCUUCUAAAGCUAAAUACCGGCCAGAGACCGAUAGCGCACAAGUAGAGUGAUCGAAAGAUGAAAAGCACUUUGAAAAGAGGGUUAAAUAGUACGUGAAAUUGCUGAAAGGGAAGCGCUUAUGACCAGACUUGGGCGCGGCGGAUCAUCCGGCGUUCUCGCCGGUGCACUCCACCGCCCCAGGCCAGCAUCAGUUCGCGCCGGGGGAUAAAGGCUUCGGGAAUGUGGCUCCUCCGGGAGUGUUAUAGCCCGUUGUGUAAUACCCUGGUGCGGACUGAGGUCCGCGCUCUGCAAGGAUGCUGGCGUAAUGGUCAUCAGUGACCCGUCUUGAAACACGGACCAAGGAGUCGUCUUCGUAUGCGAGUGUUCGGGUGUCAAACCCCUACGCGGAAUGAAAGUGAACGUAGGAGAGAGCUUCGGCGCAUCUCCGACCGAUCCUGAUGUUCUCGGAUGGAUUUGAGUAAGAGCAUACGGGGCCGGACCCGAAA
rnacentral:rRNA from 1 species